rnacentral:rRNA from 1 species
ACCUACGGGGGGCAGCAGUGGGGGAUAUUGCACGAUGGGGGAAACCCUGAUGCAGCGACGCCGCGUGGGCGAAGAAGUAUUUCUGUAUGUAAAGCCCGAUCAGCAGGGAAGAAGAAAUGACGGUACCUGACUAAGAAGCCCCGGCUAACUACGUGCCAGCAGCCGCGGUAAUACGUAGGGGGCAAGCGUUAUCCGGAUUUACUGGGUGUAAAGGGAGCGUAGACGGCAUGGCAAGUCAGAUGUGAAAGCCCGGGGCUCAACCCCGGGACUGCAUUUGAAACUGUCAGGCUGGAGUGCAGGAGAGG